GAUGAAGAACGCAGCGAAAUGCGAUAAGUAAUGUGAAUUGCAGAAUUCAGUGAAUCAUCGAAUCUUUGAACGCACAUUGCGCCACUUGGUAUUCCGAGGGGCAUGCCUGUUCGAGCGUCAUUAUAACCCCUCAAGCUCAGCUUGGUGUUGGGGCCUGCUGCACUGGCAGCCCUUAAAAUCAGUGGCGGCGCCAUCUGGCUCUAAGCGUAGUAAUUCUUCUCGCUAUGGAGUCCUGGUGGAUGCUUGCCAUCAACCCCCAAUUUUUCUAUGGUUGACCUCGGAUCAGGUAGGGAUACCCGCUGAACUUAAGCAUAUCAAAAGCGGAGGA
rnacentral:misc_RNA from 1 species